GGUUAAGCGACUAAGCGUACACGGUGGAUGCCCUGGCAGUCAGAGGCGAUGAAGGACGUGCUAAUCUGCGAUAAGCGUCGGUAAGGUGAUAUGAACCGUUAUAACCGGCGAUUUCCGAAUGGGGAAACCCAGUGUGUUUCGACACACUAUCAUUAACUGAAUCCAUAGGUUAAUGAGGCGAACCGGGGGAACUGAAACAUCUAAGUACCCCGAGGAAAAGAAAUCAACCGAGAUUCCCCCAGUAGCGGCGAGCGAACGGGGAGCAGCCCAGAGCCUGAAUCAGUGUGUGUGUUAGUGGAAGCGUCUGGAAAGGCGCGCGAUACAGGGUGACAGCCCCGUACACAAAAAUGCACAUGCUGUGAGCUCGAUGAGUAGGGCGGGACACGUGGUAUCCUGUCUGAAUAUGGGGGGACCAUCCUCCAAGGCUAAAUACUCCUGACUGACCGAUAGUGAACCAGUACCGUGAGGGAAAGGCGAAAAGAACCCCGGCGAGGGGAGUGAAAAAGAACCUGAAACCGUGUACGUACAAGCAGUGGGAGCACGCUUAGGCGUGUGACUGCGUACCUUUUGUAUAAUGGGUCAGCGACUUAUAUUCUGUAGCAAGGUUAACCGAAUAGGGGAGCCGAAGGGAAACCGAGUCUUAACUGGGCGUUAAGUUGCAGGGUAUAGACCCGAAACCCGGUGAUCUAGCCAUGGGCAGGUUGAAGGUUGGGUAACACUAACUGGAGGACCGAACCGACUAAUGUUGAAAAAUUAGCGGAUGACUUGUGGCUGGGGGUGAAAGGCCAAUCAAACCGGGAGAUAGCUGGUUCUCCCCGAAAGCUAUUUAGGUAGCGCCUCGUGAAUUCAUCUCCGGGGGUAGAGCACUGUUUCGGCAAGGGGGUCAUCCCGACUUACCAACCCGAUGCAAACUGCGAAUACCGGAGAAUGUUAUCACGGGAGACACACGGCGGGUGCUAACGUCCGUCGUGAAGAGGGAAACAACCCAGACCGCCAGCUAAGGUCCCAAAGUCAUGGUUAAGUGGGAAACGAUGUGGGAAGGCCCAGACAGCCAGGAUGUUGGCUUAGAAGCAGCCAUCAUUUAAAGAAAGCGUAAUAGCUCACUGGUCGAGUCGGCCUGCGCGGAAGAUGUAACGGGGCUAAACCAUGCACCGAAGCUGCGGCAGCGACGCUUAUGCGUUGUUGGGUAGGGGAGCGUUCUGUAAGCCUGCGAAGGUGUGCUGUGAGGCAUGCUGGAGGUAUCAGAAGUGCGAAUGCUGACAUAAGUAACGAUAAAGCGGGUGAAAAGCCCGCUCGCCGGAAGACCAAGGGUUCCUGUCCAACGUUAAUCGGGGCAGGGUGAGUCGACCCCUAAGGCGAGGCCGAAAGGCGUAGUCGAUGGGAAACAGGUUAAUAUUCCUGUACUUGGUGUUACUGCGAAGGGGGGACGGAGAAGGCUAUGUUGGCCGGGCGACGGUUGUCCCGGUUUAAGCGUGUAGGCUGGUUUUCCAGGCAAAUCCGGAAAAUCAAGGCUGAGGCGUGAUGACGAGGCACUACGGUGCUGAAGCAACAAAUGCCCUGCUUCCAGGAAAAGCCUCUAAGCAUCAGGUAACAUCAAAUCGUACCCCAAACCGACACAGGUGGUCAGGUAGAGAAUACCAAGGCGCUUGAGAGAACUCGGGUGAAGGAACUAGGCAAAAUGGUGCCGUAACUUCGGGAGAAGGCACGCUGAUAUGUAGGUGAGGUCCCUCGCGGAUGGAGCUGAAAUCAGUCGAAGAUACCAGCUGGCUGCAACUGUUUAUUAAAAACACAGCACUGUGCAAACACGAAAGUGGACGUAUACGGUGUGACGCCUGCCCGGUGCCGGAAGGUUAAUUGAUGGGGUUAGCGCAAGCGAAGCUCUUGAUCGAAGCCCCGGUAAACGGCGGCCGUAACUAUAACGGUCCUAAGGUAGCGAAAUUCCUUGUCGGGUAAGUUCCGACCUGCACGAAUGGCGUAAUGAUGGCCAGGCUGUCUCCACCCGAGACUCAGUGAAAUUGAACUCGCUGUGAAGAUGCAGUGUACCCGCGGCAAGACGGAAAGACCCCGUGAACCUUUACUAUAGCUUGACACUGAACAUUGAGCCUUGAUGUGUAGGAUAGGUGGGAGGCUUUGAAGUGUGGACGCCAGUCUGCAUGGAGCCGACCUUGAAAUACCACCCUUUAAUGUUUGAUGUUCUAACGUUGACCCGUAAUCCGGGUUGCGGACAGUGUCUGGUGGGUAGUUUGACUGGGGCGGUCUCCUCCUAAAGAGUAACGGAGGAGCACGAAGGUUGGCUAAUCCUGGUCGGACAUCAGGAGGUUAGUGCAAUGGCAUAAGCCAGCUUGACUGCGAGCGUGACGGCGCGAGCAGGUGCGAAAGCAGGUCAUAGUGAUCCGGUGGUUCUGAAUGGAAGGGCCAUCGCUCAACGGAUAAAAGGUACUCCGGGGAUAACAGGCUGAUACCGCCCAAGAGUUCAUAUCGACGGCGGUGUUUGGCACCUCGAUGUCGGCUCAUCACAUCCUGGGGCUGAAGUAGGUCCCAAGGGUAUGGCUGUUCGCCAUUUAAAGUGGUACGCGAGCUGGGUUUAGAACGUCGUGAGACAGUUCGGUCCCUAUCUGCCGUGGGCGCUGGAGAACUGAGGGGGCUGCUCCUAGUACGAGAGGACCGGAGUGGACGCAUCACUGGUGUUCGGGUUGUCAUGCCAAUGGCACUGCCCGGUAGCUAAAUGCGGAAGAGAUAAGUGCUGAAAGCAUCUAAGCACGAAACUUGCCCCGAGAUGAGUUCUCCCUGACUCCUUGAGAGUCCUGAAGGAACGUUGAAGACGACGACGUUGAUAGGCCGGGUGUGUAAGCGCAGCGAUGCGUUGAGCUAACCGGUACUAAUGAACCGUGAGGCUUAACCUU
rnacentral:rRNA from 1 species